rnacentral:rRNA from 1 species
AUUGAACGCUGGCGGCAUGCCUUACACAUGCAAGUCGAACGGUGACGGGUCCUUCGGGAUGCCGACGAGUGGCGAACGGGUGAGUAAUAUAUCGGAACGUGCCCAGUAGUGGGGGAUAACUGCUCGAAAGAGCAGCUAAUACCGCAUACGACCUGAGGGUGAAAGGGGGGGAUCGCAAGACCUCUCGCUAUUGGAGCGGCCGAUAUCAGAUUAGCUAGUUGGUGGGGUAAAGGCCCACCAAGGCAACGAUCUGUAGGUGGUCUGAGAGGACGAGCAGCCACACUGGGACUGAGACACGGCCCAGACUCCUACGGGAGGCAGCAGUGGGGAAUUUUGGACAAUGGGCGCAAGCCUGAUCCAGCAAUGCCGCGUGCAGGAAGAAGGCCUUCGGGUUGUAAACUGCUUUUGUCAGGGAAGAAGUCUUCUGGGCUAAUACCCCGGGAGGAUGACGGUACCUGAAGAAUAAGCACCGGCUAACUACGUGCCAGCCGCCGCAGUAA